AUCCUGGAACAGCGGCUUGCCUUGCACGUGUCACAAGGCUCUUGCGUUGUGUUGGUACCAAAGACAUCCUUUUCCUUCGGGGAAACAUUCUUCUAGUAAUGGCAUAGCUCAAGGGUGAGGUGUUGGAUCUUUCAGAUUCUGUCUGCAUACAUAUCAAAGCCAUUGUGCAACUGCUAGUCUUGGUUUAUUAAAUUGAGAACUGGAUUAAUAGGGGAAGCUGUGGAUCAGAACCAAGGCAUGCUGAUGCUGGGAGAACUGCCAAAAGUAAAAAGUCCAGUGAUUUGGGGUGCUCAUGCAUUGCCAGAGUCUUUUCAGGAAGGACAGUGAGGAUUACAGCAUCAGGGGUUUGCUGAGAGCCCAAGGUUCAGCUAAAGUAGCCGAGCUGUCUGAGGCAAGCUUAUAAAUCACCUGCUUGUUUUGUGGCACUGGAGCUCUUAAUCCAUUUUUCUGGACACUAAACAUGUAAAAGUCUUGGAAAAUAUAUCCAAUGGUGUUAAAUUUUAAAGUUUUUCAAAAUCUAGGCUAAGUCUACUUGUCUAGUAUUCUGGUCUUGUUGCCAAAUGCUUAAAGGUAGUAUGUUGAGAGUCACACUUAAUUUCUCCCUAUCUCUUGAUUGAUAUCUGGCUGGUACUGUGGUUGACUACAAAUAUAAACUUCAACUUCACUAAGUUGCCCACUUUUCCGUCGAAUUAUUUUCCUUCUCCUUAGUGUUUUACUUAACCUUAUUACUUCCUUAUCAUCAAUGUUUAAUAUAAAAUUAUUUCUUGAUAUCUUCUCUUUAAUUCUAACAAUACUCCUUGAUUGUAACUUUCUUGCCUGGCCUUCCUCUUUGUCUAAUCACAGCUACUUAUGUCAGCUCUUUCUCCUGUUACUUAAUUGUGAUCGUAUCCUCAGUUUAUGCCUUUGGCUUCCUGUCUCAUGUUACAGCUCCCUUCUCAGACCCUGAGUAAUCUUACUUGAGUUCACUAUCUUCAUUCACUGACACAGCUUUCUAUAAGCACUUCCAGUCAUUUUCUUGUUGUUCUUUUGGGCUUUGGCUACACUAGAGCUCUUGCUACUAACCUGUGUCUGGAUGCCACUGCAAGCUUGAAGGCUAUCCCACAGCAACAUACAUUUGUUAACAAAUAGCACAAAUUUGCUGCAGUAUUUGAGCUGUAUAAUCUACAAGGAAGAUCUACCUGUCAUCGGCCAAAUUGGUCUCCACAAACAAUACCUGCUGUAGAUGAGACAUGCUGUUAUAGUAGUUCUCAUAGUACAAGCAAAUUUCUACUCUGCUGGUACAAACAUGAGAUUUUUGGAAUUUCCUUGUUUGUGUAAGUUCCUUCGUGUACCUGGAUUUAUUAUGCUGCUCUUUGCCAACAACUGUUUCAGUCAUCUCUGAUCAUUUACUAUUGGAAGUUUGUGGAAUAUAUUGGAAAAAUCACAGAAUCAGCAUGGUAUUCACUUCCUCUGGGUAUCUGUGGAUUCUCUGACAUAUGGAUACAGCCACAGCUGAACUAUGAUGUGGAAUAAUUUGGCAUGUGUUUGGAUAUGCAAAUAUUUUGCGGAGUUGGAUACAAUUUGCUCAGAAAAACUGUUCUGGGAGAAAAGCUGGAAUGAGCACUACCUUCAGAAGGAAGCACAUCACCAACUAUUCCAGGAGAGCAAGGAUUCUUCUUUCACAGUCAAUGAGGAUUAUAUUCUUGAUACUUUCAUUUGUGGAUUGCAAGAUGUUCUUAAGUAGAGCUGCUGCUAUUUCACUGGAUUGUAGAAGGUCUAUGUAGAGGAGGCUGAGGAGUAUGCUCCUUGUGGCACAAAGAUAUUGUGGUACCAAGACCCCACUGAGAUCCUGGGAAUAAACCAUUUUGAGCUACCCCAUUGAUGGCAGCAUCAAAGAAGUCUGAAGAAACCACUUUUUGAAGUGUGGAGUGUCUUCUGAACCAGAGCCUAUUUGGUAGCAAGGAAACAACUGGGAAAUGUUGGUACAUCCAUUGUGUGGAAGGAAUGUGACCCCAUCUGGGAAUGACAAAAGCAAAGUGCUUGAUUAAAUCCCAGCUCAGCUCUCAACAAUUGGGAAAAUGUGGGGAAAAAGUCUGAAAGAAAACAAAACUUAAAUUACAAGACAAGCUUAGUCAGGAAGACUAAGAAUUCAUCAAGGGCCAUCUCUGAUAAAAGACAUGAGACUACAGAAGAGACAUUUGAACUUUUUCUUGUAGGACUACCAGCAACUCACAGUUAGUGUAAACAAAGUCUGGUCACUUUCCGUGUUGGCAGAUUGUGUUCAGGUGGCUUCCAUGGGUUUUGCUGAAGAGGAUUUGUAUAACUGAAGUGGAGGGUGUCAGCUAAGUUUAGACAGCAGAUCUGUGAUGUCAACAUCUCUUAAUGUCUUGUAUCUGAAGAUACAUAAAUGCUGAUAACAUUUGAUGUAGCUACUUGGAUCUCAAAUCCUCUACUAGCUAAGGAAUUGGUCACAGUAAGCAACUAUCAUCUUUGCCUCUUGGCCACUGGGAACAGCUAGCCCCCUAUUUUCCACCAUACAAAACAGAAUUAGAUUCAUGCUUGGUCAAGGUGUCUUUUUUUUUUAAAAAAAAAAAAGUUAUGCCUAAUGGCAUGUACACUUCUGCGGCUGCAAGACCGGUGGUCUUCUCUUUGUUUUCUAGGGUUGGACGGAGUAAACAGCAGGCGAAAUGAUACUUCGAGAUGCAUUGAUAGCCAAUCCACCUUGCUUGGCUUUCACAGUCAUUUUCCGCUAUCCUUUGAUACUUAUAUUCUGUCCAUAGUUGAACUGUCACCUGAGUACAUGAACUUGUGGGAAGCAGUCACUCUGAGGAUUAAGUCAUUUAUUGGCCUAUUCUAUUUGUAAAAUGGCUUUGUCCUUAUUUGACACAGGAUUUUUCCUGUCCUUAUUUUGAAUGAGAGUUUUAAGACUCAAAUUUUCUUAGCACUGACAGCAUUUGAGAAGAUCAUUCUAUGCAUAUUUGCUUCCCUCCUUAAAUGUACAGUAUCCCUUAAUCUCUCAUCAUGCUACACGUUAAGUAUAGAUAGGAGUAUCUUCUAUCACAUCUUAGAACUGGGUUUCUGAUUCAGUUUUGGGACUCAGAGGUGCAUAGAUUCAUUUACAGGUCCUGAAAGUCAUGAUGCCCAACUAUCCAUAUUCCAUAGAACCAUUAAAUAUGGCAUAGGAGUGAUAAGCAUACAUAUGUAACAUUUUGUGUAUAAUACAGCACUACAGUACCUAGUGAGAACUCCUGAUUGCGUUGCUCAAGCGAUUAGUGUUAUCCAUGGUAGCAAAGAAAUGAUGAAAAUCCUCAAUCAGGUGGUCUUGUACUACCUGCUGAGAAGACAUUUUUGUUCCCUGAUUCUUGAAGUUACUGCUGUUUAGCGCCUCCUGGUAGUUCUCAUGCUCUUCUGUACAAAUAGGGAGCAGUGUUUUUAGUAUGGACAAAUAAAUAUUCUGCUCAGGUUUAUGCUUGAGCUAUCCAGUAUGAUUGCA